CUAUAUAACUUUUCCAACUGUAUGAGUCUUUAUAGUUGAAAUGUUUAGUAAAAUAAUUUCCUAACAAGUUUUGAACAGAUAUAAAGUUUACUGUUCACAACUUUGAAAAUGCCAAAAAUAUAAGAAAACGUAGAAACAAUUUUCAUUUUGUACACAUCCAUAUUGCCAUGUCUCAUAGUUUUGCAAAUUCUCUGUGCUUGUGUCACAGGUCACAACCUCAGGAGAUUUUUUAAGCGUGAUAGGAAACCACUGCCAUCCAUGGAGGGCCUGGAAAGAUCUUAGAAUAUUGUCAUAUGUCCUUGGGCAGCUUCUAGGAGCAAGGAAGGCAAACAGAAUGUAUACUGAUGGGAGAAGAGACGGUGGUACUAGAAGACACUUACGAGCUAAGAAAUAUCUGGAGGAUAUGGAGAGAUAAAUCACUGCACCUUCCAAGAUGAUUCUGAACAACCACUCAAACUAUUCUUUAAUGCCCAGAAAUGUAUG